rnacentral:misc_RNA from 1 species
GAUGAAGAACGCAGUGAAAUGCGAUACGUAAUGUGAAUUGCAGAAUUCAGUGAAUCAUCGAAUCUUUGAACGCAUAUUGCGCUCUCUGGUAUUCCGGAGAGCAUGCUUGUUUGAGUAUCAGUAAACACCUCAACUCCCCUUUCUUUUUUUGAAAUGGGAGCUGGACUUGAGUGAUCCCAACGCUUUUCUCACCGAAAAGUGGCGGGUUACUUGAAAUGCAGGUGACGCUGGACUUUUCUCUGAGCUAAAAGCAUAUCUAUUUAGUCUGCCUAAAAAACAGAUUAUUACCUUUGCUGCAGCUAACAUAAAGGAGAUUAGUUCUUGUGCUGACUGAUGCAGGAUUCACAGAGACAGCUUCGGCUGGCCUUUGUAAACUCGAUCUCAAAUCAAGUAAGACUACCCGCUGAACUUAAGCAUAUCAAUAAGCGGAGGA